rnacentral:rRNA from 2 species
GUGAUGGGGAGAAGACAUUGUGUCUUCGAGUCGUUGAUUUCACACUGCCGAGAAAAGCCUCUAGAUAGAAAAUAGGUGCCCGUACCGCAAACCGACACAGGUAGUCAAGAUGAGAAUUCUAAGGUGAGCGAGCGAACUCUCGUUAAGGAACUCGGCAAAAUGACCCCGUAACUUCGGGAGAAGGGGUGCUCUUUAGGGUUAACGCCCAGAAGAGCCGCAGUGAAUAGGCCCAAGCGACUGUUUAUCAAAAACACAGGUCUCUGCUAAACCGUAAGGUGAUGUAUAGGGGCUGACGCCUGCCCGGUGCUGGAAGGUUAAGAGGAGUGGUUAGCUUCUGCGAAGCUACGAAUCGAAGCCCCAGUAAACGGCGGCCGUAACUAUAACGGUCCUAAGGUAGCGAAAUUCCUUGUCGGGUAAGUUCCGACCCGCACGAAAGGCGUAACGAUUUGGGCACUGUCUCAACGAGAGACUCGGUGAAAUCAUAGUACCUGUGAAGAUGCAGGUUACCCGCGACAGGACGGAAAGACCCCGUGGAGCUUUACUGUAGCCUGAUAUUGAAAUUCGGCACAGCUUGUACAGGAUAGGUAGGAGCCUUUGAAACGUGAGCGCUAGCUUACGUGGAGGCGCUGGUGGGAUACUACCCUAGCUGUGUUGGCUUUCUAACCCGCACCACUUAUCGUGGUGGGAGACAGUGUCAGGCGGGCAGUUUGACUGGGGCGGUCGCCUCCUAAAAGGUAACGGAGGCGCUCAAAGGUUCCCUCAGAAUGGUUGGAAAUCAUUCAUAGAGUGUAAAGGCAUAAGGGAGCUUGACUGCGAGACCUACAAGUCGAGCAGGGUCGAAAGACGGACUUAGUGAUCCGGUGGUUCCGCAUGGAAGGGCCAUCGCUCAACGGAUAAAAGCUACCCCGGGGAUAACAGGCUUAUCUCCCCCAAGAGUUCACAUCGACGGGGAGGUUUGGCACCUCGAUGUCGGCUCAUCGCAUCCUGGGGCUGUAGUCGGUCCCAAGGGUUGGGCUGUUCGCCCAUUAAAGCGGUACGCGAGCUGGGUUCAGAACGUCGUGAGACAGUUCGGUCCCUAUCCGUCGUGGGCGUAGGAAAUUUGAGAGGAGCUGUCCUUAGUACGAGAGGACCGGGAUGGACAUACCUCUGGUGUACCAGUUGUCGUGCCAACGGCAUAGCUGGGUAGCUAUGUGUGGACGGGAUAAGUGCUGAAAGCAUCUAAGCAUGAAGCCCCCCUCAAGAUGAGAUUUCCCAACUUCGGUUAUAAGAUCCCUCAAAGAUGAUGAGGUUAAUAGGUUCGAGGUGGAAGCAUGGUGACAUGUGGAGCUGACGAAUACUAAUCGAUCGAAGACUUAAUCAAAUU